rnacentral:rRNA from 1 species
AUUGAACGCUGGCGGCAGGCCUAACACAUGCAAGUCGAGCGGAUGAAGGGAGCUUGCUCCUGGAUUCAGCGGCGGACGGGUGAGUAAUGCCUAGGAAUCUGCCUGGUAGUGGGGGAUAACGUCCGGAAACGGGCGCUAAUACCGCAUACGUCCUGAGGGAGAAAGUGGGGGAUCUUCGGACCUCACGCUAUCAGAUGAGCCUAGGUCGGAUUAGCUAGUUGGUGGGGUAAAGGCCUACCAAGGCGACGAUCCGUAACUGGUCUGAGAGGAUGAUCAGUCACACUGGAACUGAGACACGGUCCAGCCUCCUACGGGAGGCAGCAGUGGGGAAUAUUGGACAAUGGGCGAAAGCCUGAUCCAGCCAUGCCGCGUGUGUGAAGAAGGUCUUCGGAUUGUAAAGCACUUUAAGUUGGGAGGAAGGGCAGUAAGUUAAUACCUUGCUGUUUUGACGUUACCAACAGAAUAAGCACCGGCGAACUUCGU